UACAUGUCUUGUCCCUUGUCAUCGACAGCGUCUUCACUCUUCAUCAUUAUAAAGGAUUUUUUUGUUCUUUUCUUUCCGGGCGUUUUGUUGGUUUGAGGUUGGAAUUUUGAGUUGUUUGCGUCGUUCUGAUAUAAUAAGUGUAACUUAGGAAGACAACCUGGAAAAGGCCAGAAAGAAAUUAAAGAAGUGGGAGGAAACUUCAGAUAUACAAUCUUCAGAGUCGGACUUUGAAACAUUACGUGUAAAAAGAAGGUUAAAAGCUAAGAGAUGCUUGUCAGAUUCUACCAGUGAGGAUGAGGAGCCUAGCAAAAAACUAAAAAGACCCCCUUGCUUUCCUAACCUAAGAGCAGACUCCAGUUGUGGUAGCUCAGAUGUUUAUCAGGAGAUGACAAGUACUCCAACUAGACUCUCUAGUAGAAAAAAUUUGAAAUCGGGGGAAAUUUCAACUACUACACUUGAGAAUACACUACUUACCCUGCCAAAUAGGAUUAUUUUACCAAAUUCAGAUAUUUUAAAGUCAUCACCAUCAACAUCAAUAAUUAUAAGGGAAGAUAACACAUCAAAUGCUAACACUGAAAGUUUCUGUGAAAGCAAUACAACCAUUAGUGUAUCUUCAAAUGCUUUAGAGAAAAUUUAUAGGCAAGUUAAAAAGUUGGGAGAAGAACUAAAGGAAGUUAAAGGAUUGCUCAAACAAUCAAGGCAUCCCUCAAGUGUUCCUAGUUUGCCCAAUAAUCUACCAGUUGAACUUCCCUUAAAUUCUCAAGAAAAUUUACAAAUAUUAGAACACUAUCUAGGUGAAGAGGAAGCAUUUAAUAAUUUGGCCUUAUAUCUUUCAACACUUGGAGGUAAUGGCAUGGUAUCCUGUGUAAAUAAAAUUCUAAGACUUCUUCUAUCAGAUAUCUUAGCAACUGCUUAUAACUUUGCUGGGCAACGGAGUAAACAAGCAUUCGGAACAACAAAACUUAAUUCUCUUGUGAUAAGAGCUAUACAAGUUACAUCCCCAUUAACAACUAAAGCAGAAAUUGAAAAUGCAGUCAAAACUUGGCUGAAGCAUGCCAAGCAAAGAAUUGAUAAAAAAAGGAAGUCAUAUUGAUGAUGUUUUUUUAUGUGUCAUAUAGUGCAAUUUAUUUUGUAAGU
rnacentral:misc_RNA from 1 species